rnacentral:rRNA from 1 species
AGCAGCCUCGGUAAUUCCAGCUCCAAUAGCGUAUAUUAAAGUUGUUGCAGUUAAAAAGCUCGUAGUUGAAUUUCGGGAUCAAUAUUUCGGUCAUGCCGUUGGUAUGCACUGUUAUCAUUGAUUUCUCACCUUCUAAAGAACCGUAAUGCCAUUAAUUUGGUGUUACGGGGAAUUAGGACUGUUACCUUGAAAAAAUUAGAGUGUUUAAAGCAGGCUCACGCUUGAAUACAUUAGCAUGGAAUAAUGAAAUAGGACAUCCGAUUCUAUUUUGUUGGUUUCUAGGAUCGAUGUAAUGAUUAAUAGGGAUAGUUGGGGGCAUUAGUAUUCAAUUGUCAGAGGUGAAAUUCUUGGAUUUAUUGAAGACUAACUACUGCGAAAGCAUUUGCCAAGGAUGUUUUCAUUAAUCAAGAACGAAAGUUAGGGGAUCGAAGACGAUCAGAUACCGUCGUAGUCUUAACCAUAAACUAUGCCGACUAGGGAUCGGAUGAUGUUAAUUUUUUAAUGACUCAUUC